rnacentral:ncRNA from 1 species
AGAACUAUUUAAGUGAAAAGUGGAAUGAUAGGGUAACGCCUUGAAACACUUUCGAUGAUACUCCGACUUGCAGUAUGAAAGCUAAAUAAAUACUGUAAGAAGCUCGGUGAAGUCGGCAGAAGUAUUCCUAAGUGUAGAUAUAUAUUGAGUAAGGUUGGUAUAAAAUGUCUAGAGCCUACCUUUUCCAGAAAGAUUAUAGAAGCAUAUGGAAUAUGAUAUGCCGGUCGUCC